GAUGAACGCUAGCUACAGGCUUAACACAUGCAAGUCGAGGGGCAGCAUUUUAGUUUGCUUGCAAACUGAAGAUGGCGACCGGCGCACGGGUGAGUAACACGUAUCCAACCUGCCGAUAACUCCGGGAUAGCCUUUCGAAAGAAAGAUUAAUACCGGAUAGUAUACGAAUAUCGCAUGAUAUUUUUAUUAAAGAAUUUCGGUUAUCGAUGGGGAUGCGUUCCAUUAGUUUGUUGGCGGGGUAACGGCCCACCAAGACUACGAUGGAUAGGGGUUCUGAGAGGAAGGUCCCCCACAUUGGAACUGAGACACGGUCCAAACUCCUACGGGAGGCAGCAGUGAGGAAUAUUGGUCAAUGGGCGCGAGCCUGAACCAGCCAAGUAGCGUGAAGGAUGAAGGCUCUAUGGGUCGUAAACUUCUUUUAUAUGGGAAUAAAGUUUUCCACGUGUGGAAUUUUGUAUGUACCAUAUGAAUAAGGAUCGGCUAACUCCGUGCCAGCAGCCGCGGUAAUACGGAGGAUCCGAGCGUUAUCCGGAUUUAUUGGGUUUAAAGGGAGCGUAGGUGGAUUGUUAAGUCAGUUGUGAAAGUUUGCGGCUCAACCGUAAAAUUGCAGUUGAAACUGGCAGUCUUGAGUACAGUAGAGGUGGGCGGAAUUCGUGGUGUAGCGGUGAAAUGCUUAGAUAUCACGAAGAACUCCGAUUGCGAAGGCAGCUCACUAGACUGUCACUGACACUGAUGCUCGAAAGUGUGGGUAUCAAACAGGAUUAGAUACCCUGGUAGUCCACACAGUAAACGAUGAAUACUCGCUGUUUGCGAUAUACAGUAAGCGGCCAAGCGAAAGCAUUAAGUAUUCCACCUGGGGAGUACGCCGGCAACGGUGAAACUCAAAGGAAUUGACGGGGGCCCGCACAAGCGGAGGAACAUGUGGUUUAAUUCGAUGAUACGCGAGGAACCUUACCCGGGCUUAAAUUGCAACAGAAUAUAUUGGAAACAGUAUAGCCGUAAGGCUGUUGUGAAGGUGCUGCAUGGUUGUCGUCAGCUCGUGCCGUGAGGUGUCGGCUUAAGUGCCAUAACGAGCGCAACCCUUAUCUUUAGUUACUAACAGGUGAUGCUGGGGACUCUAGAGAGACUGCCGUCGUAAGAUGUGAGGAAGGUGGGGAUGACGUCAAAUCAGCACGGCCCUUACGUCCGGGGCUACACACGUGUUACAAUGGGGGGUACAGAAGGCGGCUACCUGGUGACAGGAUGCUAAUCCCAAAAACCUCUCUCAGUUCGGAUCGAAGUCUGCAACCCGACUUCGUGAAGCUGGAUUCGCUAGUAAUCGCGCAUCAGCCAUGGCGCGGUGAAUACGUUCCCGGGCCU
rnacentral:rRNA from 1 species